AUUGAACGCUGGCGGCAUGUUUUACACAUGCAAGUCGAACGGUAACAGCACUUCGGUGGCUGACGAGUGGCGAACGGGUGAGUAAUACAUCGGAACGUGCCUAGUAGUGGGGGAUAACUACUCGAAAGAGUAGCUAAUACCGCAUGAGAUCUAAGGAUGAAAGCAGGGGACCUUCGGGCCUUGCGCUACUAGAGCGGCUGAUGGCAGAUUAGGUAGUUGGUGGGAUAAAAGCUUACCAAGCCGACGAUCUGUAGCUGGUCUGAGAGGACGACCAGCCACACUGGGACUGAGACACGGCCCAGACUCCUACGGGAGGCAGCAGUGGGGAAUUUUGGACAAUGGGCGCAAGCCUGAUCCAGCAAUGCCGCGUGCAGGACGAAGGCCUUCGGGUUGUAAACUGCUUUUGUACGGAACGAAAAGCCCUCUUCUAAUACAGGAGGGUCAUGACGGUACCGUAAGAAUAAGCACCGGCUAACUACGUG
rnacentral:rRNA from 1 species